GAUGAGAUCUUAGUCCUCACUCCCUUCCUCUUCUCUGAUUUCAAAAUUUUCAUGAUUUCCUUUAGACUAUUCGCCUGUUUCUUUUUGCUGCGGGGAAUAGUCUGCACCGGUGUUUAAUCGGAUCAUUUUAUGUUUUCUUGAAAUAGAGGCACUGAACGCCAUGUGACUUCAGCCUUGCACCGGUGAGAUGGAUACUUGCUCUUUGUUUCCUCACUUUUAUUGUGUUUUCAUCCAUGUCAAGUCAUAGAAACGAUAGUGAACCUAUUCUGUUAUUAAAUUUGGCAACAUUUUACUUAUUCUGUUGGUGUUUAUCAUCCACAAUGUUUUGUACCCACUUGUCGUUAUAUUACACGUGUUCCAGGGGUCUCUUUGACAUGUAGUCGUAUUUGUUGGUGCAGGUGACUCCAACAGCAACGUUCGUUUCGUGCUGU
rnacentral:lncRNA from 1 species